UCUCUGUCUUCGGUUUCAGAGGCAUCUUGAGAAUCAGUAUAACACAUUGUUGACUUUCUGCCUGCUCUUAAAAAUUCUGAUCUCUAUGUAUUUUUUUUCUGCACUACUGAUAAUUUUUUAAGUGACUGAACGUGAAGCACUGUAACAAGUCAUGCUUGAAAAUAGAUAAAGUAAUCUAAAAUUAUGCCUUUGUUUACUUUUCAUGCUCUCUUUUCUUUUGUUUCCUUAAUUAGAGUCUUUUUCUAGAAUUCUGUUCACUAAUAUAAUUAUACAUAUAGGGCAGGCAAACUUAAUUAUCUUACCAUGGACUGCUGUGGGCCCCUCUUUGAGGGCUCUGGCAUCUCAGCUCAUAUUUUCUCCAACAUCAACUGAAAGCACAAGCUGUCAUCUAAGACUGCAGCCCAACAUUCUAUGCAGCUUAAUAGCUCUACUGACUGUUCAUGUUAUUUGAGCUGCAUUUAAAACCUGAUCUUGCUUUCACCAGGAAAAUGAUAGGAAAAUCUAAUGAAAUUGAAGUACUUGGAGGUGUAAAUGUAAACACAUAUGGAAUGAUAUGCAGAACUAGUAAAUUGUACAAGGGGAGGUUUUGAAAUAUCUAUCUGAUUGCUUGCUCUUGGUGUCUGCUCCUUUCCUCAGGAACUAUUUAAAGCAUUAGCACUAUAAUAUAUACUGUUGCAGGUUGAAUGUCCUUCAUGAAAGUGUAGUUUCUCUAAAAUCACAUUAAACCUGAACGUUUUGGAACAGGUGUUUGCCUCAUAGCUGUUUGGAUCUGUUUUUGAAAUACAUUUCCCUAGUUUAUAUAACUGAAACACGGAUUUAAAAUUAAUUUUAGUGCAUAUAAGACAAGUAGUCCUAAUGCUUGAUCUCUUUUCUGAUCCAAGGGAAGGAUUGUCUGCACCCUCUCUCCAGUAUGACCUUCAAGUCUGUCCUUGUUGAAGAAAGGACACGUUACCACAAAAUGAUUUGAAUAUAAAUGAAUGCCAUGCUAUUCUGAAGACUUUGCCAUAGAGUUUCCAAGAAAAGAAAAUGCAAUGGAGAGCAGCUGAAAUUGUAUGUGCUACAGAUCACCUCUCUGUAUUGGAGCCAUUGUGAUUCUUCCAAAAGCUUUUAGUCAAAAGGUUAAAGAAGGUAAGAAUGUUUCUGUCUUCAUCUUGCCAUAAA